rnacentral:rRNA from 1 species
GACGAACGCUGGCGGCGUGCUUAACACAUGCAAGUCGAGCGGUAAGGCCCUUUCGGGGGUACACGAGCGGCGAACGGGUGAGUAACACGUGGGUGACCUGCCCUCAGCUCUGGGAUAAGCCUGGGAAACCGGGUCUAAUACUGGAUAUGACUCCAUGACGCAUGUUGUGGGGUGGAAAGCCUUGUGCGGCUGAGGAUGGGCCCGCGGCCUAUCAGCUUGUUGGUGGGGUGANGGCCUACCAAGGCGACGACGGGUAGCCGGCCUGAGAGGGCGACCGGCCACACUGGGACUGAGACACGGCCCAGACUCCUACGGGAGGCAGCAGUGGGGAAUCUUGCGCAAUAGGCGAAAGCCUGACGCAGCGACGCCGCGUGAGGGAUGACGGCCU